rnacentral:rRNA from 1 species
UACGAAGGGGGCGAGCGUUUGUUCGGAAUUACUGGGCGUAAAGGGCGCGCAGGCGGCUCUGUUUGUCAGGCGUGAAAGCCCCGGGCUUAACCUGGGAGGUGCGUUUGAUACGGCAGGGCUAGAGUUCGGGAGAGGAGAGUGGAAUUCCCAGUGUAGAGGUGAAAUUCGUAGAUAUUGGGAAGAACACCGGUGGCGAAGGCGGCUCUCUGGACCGAUACUGACGCUGAGGCGCGAAAAGCGUGGGGGAGCAAACAGGG